UACGUAGGGUGCAGGCGUUGUCCGGAAUUAUUGGGCGUAAAGAGCUCGUAGGCGGCCUGUUGCGUCCGCUGUGAAAACCCGAGGCUCAACCUCGGGCCUGCAGUGGGUACGGGCAGACUAGAGUGCGGUAGGGGAGACUGGAAUUCCUGGUGUAGCGGUGAAAUGCGCAGAUAUCAGGAGGAACACCGAUGGCGAAGGCAGGUCUCUGGGCCACUACUGACGCUGAGAAGCGAAGCAUGGGGAGCGAACAGG
rnacentral:rRNA from 1 species